AGAGUUUGAUCCUGGCUCAGGAUGAACGCUAGCGGCAGGCUUAACACAUGCAAGUCGAGGGGCAGCGCGGGUAGCAAUACCUGGCGGCGACCGGCAAACGGGUGCGGAACACGUACAGAACCUACCUUGAUCUGGGGCAUAGCCCGGAGAAAUCCGGAUUAACUCCCCAUAAUAUAUCUGGAAGGCAUCUUUUGGAUAUUAAAAAUUUAUUGGAUCAAGAUGGCUGUGCGUCCCAUUAGCUAGUUGGUAGGGUAACGGCCUACCAAGGCGACGAUGGGUAGCUGGUGUGAGAGCACGACCAGCCACACGGGCACUGAGACACGGGCCCGACUCCUACGGGAGGCAGCAGUGAGGAAUAUUGGUCAAUGGACGCAAGUCUGAACCAGCCAUGCCGCGUGAAGGAUGAAGGCCUUCUGGGUUGUAAACUUCUUUUACCUGGGAAGAAAACUACGAUUUCUAUCGUAGCCGACGGUACCAGAGGAAUAAGCACCGGCUAACUCCGUGCCAGCAGCCGCGGUAAUACGGAGGGUGCAAGCGUUAUCCGGAUUUACUGGGUUUAAAGGGUGCGUAGGCGUCCCGAAAAGUUUUCAGCGAAAUCUGUCAGCUUAACUGGCAAACUGUUGAAAAAACUUUCGGGAUUGAAUAUGGUAGAAGUGGGCGGAAUAAAUCAUGUAGCGGUGAAAUGCUUAGAUAUGAUUUAGAACACCGAUUGCGAAGGCAGCUCGCUAUGUCAUGAUUGACGCUGAGGCACGAAAGCGUGGGGAUCAAACAGGAUUAGAUACCCUGGUAGUCCACGCCCUAAACGAUGAAUACUCGUUGUUGGCGAUAUACAGUCAGCGACUAAGCGAAAGCGUUAAGUAUUCCACCUGGGGAGUACGUUCGCAAGAAUGAAAC
rnacentral:rRNA from 1 species